GAUGGGGCGAAGGAGGAAAAGUUCUUUUUGCGGCACCCUCACGCCUUCCCAGCCCUUUCGCGGUUUACUCGCUCCCCGGAAAGCAGGGCAUUCAAGCAGCCCUGAGGAGAGGUCCACAUGGUGAGCCACUGAGGGCCUUGCCAAGAGCCAGCACCAACGGUCCAGGUUUGGAGUGUACCACCUUGGAAGUGAAUCUUCCAGUCCAGUCAAGCCUUCAGAUGACUUCAGAACCGUCCAUGUAAGCCACUCUUGGAUUCCUGACCCACAGAAACUGUUGGAGAACAUCACCUGUAGUCUUGCCAGUGAGAUCAAACUGAAGUCCAAUUAACCUCUGGAUCCAGCUGCCAAUUUGCAGGAAAUAGAGGAGAGAAGCAUCUGUUGAACUGCACCAUGAGUAUACACUCAGCAAAGGCCAAACUGUGGAAAAUGAUACAGGUCAAACAGCCUGGAUUCUUUAACAGUAAGUGAUGUUUCUGAAGCACCAAUGAAAAUGAAGUCCUGAAGUCCUGUGCUCAAUAUGAAAUGUUGGAAGUUAGAAGAAAAAAACAAAACUUGGAUCCAAUCUCAAGGCACUUUUUGUUUAAUGGGAAGAAGUGGAUUAUUUUAAAAGCUACAAAUAAAGUUACAUAAAAGUA
rnacentral:lncRNA from 1 species